CUACGGAGGGUGCAAGCGUUACUCGGAAUAACUGGGCGUAAAGGAUGCGUAGGCUGGAUGUCAAGUUGGAAGUGAAAUCCUAUGGCUUAACCAUAGAACUGCUUCCAAAACUGUCAACCUAGAGUGAGGGAGAGGCAGAUGGAAUUAGUGGUGUAGGGGUAAAAUCCGUAGAUAUCACUAGGAAUACCGAUUGCGAAGGCGAUCUGCUAGAACUCUACUGACGCUAAGGCAUGAAAGCGUGGGGAGCGAACAGGAUUAGAAACCCGGGUAGUCC
rnacentral:rRNA from 1 species